rnacentral:lncRNA from 1 species
UGAAAGCCCUGGACGCUCUCGCACCCAUCUAGUGGCAUGGAGUUCCACAAGCAAAGGUUGUCUCGCUGCUUCUGUGCCAGCCUGUUGCAGUCAAAGAGCAUUUCUCCCCUCCCGCUUCCGCCGCCUCCUAAGGUUGCCCCGGUUUCCUAAACAGAACCUGCUUUUCUGUUGUGCAUGCACAGAGCGUUACCGCAAGUAAUAAAACCGGAGAAAAGCGGUGCUAGAAAGAAUUGGAAUAAGCUGGUGGGCAUUUAAAUGCCAUGGAGGAGAGAUGGCAUUGCAUGGGCAGAGAAACGAUCUGGGGGGAGGACUGUCCAAAAGAAACGAAGCCCAAAUGUGCUCUCUCCCCCAGAGCAGCCCCUGCCCAAGGCAAGGUAUUGACGUGACUUCUGAAACCCUGAACGACCUGGCUUUGCAAGAAAACCUCACCUGGGUCCUUUCGUGAACCAGAACUCGGAACGUUUCUGGNAGCCACCAGCCAGGCUGGGAACGGAUGGUGAUUUCUGGGCACCACACGGAUAAACGACAGGUUUCUUCACUGGCUGCAGCUGGGGGUGGAUAGAGGAGGUUCAGCUGUGCCCUCCCCUUAGCUGACCUCUGUGCUGUGGAUAUGCCUGGAGGGAGCGACGGGGCCUCUGAGGAGCAGAGCUGCUUUCCCUGCCCUUUGGGAGCAACAGCCCCUGUUCGCGGGCUCAAGCAGCCUUCCCGAACGCACAAGGCUUUGAGCCUGUCCAGGUUGCGUUCUGACCAACAAGAAGACCAUGCAGGCACGUAUGUGCUGGUGGCUGAUGGAGUAACUUGGCUGACUGGAUCCCAUUGCAUGUUGCUUUGAUUGUGGUAUUCGGUUGUUUUUGUUUCCUGAUGAACCGCCUCGAAAUUUUAAAAUGAUAGUUUCGUUAUCUUGCGAUCACAUGAUAUAAUGAUGGUAUUGAGGUAGGGCCUUCUGCGUGACAGCCCCGAGUAUGUACCAAAACGUUUUGAAUUAUUUUGUUCCAAAUUUAUCAUUUUCUCACUGUUAUAUUUGCAAACUACCCUCCACUGUAAACUCAGGAGUCAUGUGACAAGGCAGAACAAUAAAAAUAAAGAUCUUCUGGUCACACCAGCAGCAUUCUCAGAUUACAAAACCCUUAGGCUGGUCAGCAAGCCCAGAAACCAGCUCUCCAAAGCCCCAGGCCCUCUUUCCAGGCCCAGGAAUCCUGGUCACCCGUGCAAAGGGAGCUGUAAUUCCGGUGGGAGCCCAGGUGUGGUCUGUUCUGCUCUGCUCUCUCUAGCCUCCCUGCCGCAAAGGAACCAGCCCAGCCAUCUCCCCUCCUCCAAGCGUGUAGCGUUCCGCUUCUUUACAACUUCCUCUUCUUUCCCCUUCUUCUUCUUGGCCUUUGUGAAUCCAUUCUGCUGUUGCUGCGUUGCCCCUGGGACAGACUCCUCACCUGCUUUUCAGCCGCCUGCACUUGCUAGAGGGUGGUGGAGGAUGAAGGGCACUCGGAAGAGGGGCGGAUCGGAGAUACUCUUUUGCCUCCUGCUGCCAGAAGGUCCCCCCGGGAGCCGAGCAGUCGAGCAGUGCUUACCUUGUUCCCUUGGAGCAGGUGUCCCAACACCCUCUUUAACGGAGUAGAAAAAUUGUGGCCAGGAGAUAAGCCUGCCGGGAACUCAUCCUGAUCCUAAACAAGAAGGAGCCACUUUGCUUAGUCAGGACUGGGUGAGGCGCUUUUGCAGAAGCCCCAGAAAUAACCCUCAUCAGCUGCUCCUUUGGUGGUGGCCCCCAUGCCACUGGCAGGCUUCCAGCAACUGAGUUAAGCGGGCCUGGUGAUCACCAAGAGAGCUGCCUUCGAGGGCCCAGUGCUGCAAGGAAGUGUCUCGACGCCCCCUGGUGGCACCGCGAGGCACAGCGCAGCCACCCGAUAGGAGAAGGCGGCAGCGGGAAGCAGAAGCGGGGGAGGGCGGUGCGGUCGCUCACCCUGGACGGCCACGCCCACAGCGCCCGCACCUUCCCAGCAAGGCAGCGUCCUGUAAUCUCGUGCAAUGCUUUCGCGGCUCUGCAUUCCUGGCCCUACGGGGAGUUGAUGAAGUUGGAUUCUACACGGCCGGGCAGAGCAGCUUUGAUCCCUUAACGGGAUCUUCAGACGGCCAGCGCAAGGUGACUCGCAGCCGGACCCGCGGGCCACGUGCGCGCCUAAGGGACGGGGAAGCGGCAUGGCGGGGCUGAAGACAGCGCAGGGUUUGUGCCUUUUGUCGCCACCAGACCAGCAGAAGCAGCAGAACAGAAGGGAAGCAACGGCUUCUCCAGGCCGCCAGCUUCCAAACGGUGAGGGGCUCAGUGGGGCACCUGGCAAGUCAGAGCCCAAGGUGGGCGAGCUGAGACGCAGACGCCAAAGGCAGCUGUGCCCAAGGGACCAUUUCCCCCCCCUCGCCGCCUCUUGAGCGCCCCGUAACUAAAUGGUUGGUGCCAUCUGGUGGCCACGAGAGGUGGUGGAGGCGACUAGUGCUGUUUAACCACCACACACUGGCCAGGAUCAAAGGAAGUGAAAAUUCCCAAGAAAGGCGCUUUUGAAGUUUCUAAAUGGAUCUUCCUUGGCAGAAAGGAGGCGGCUCCGCCUUAAUAUUUUCUAGUGGAA